rnacentral:rRNA from 1 species
AGUGAACGCUGGCGGCAGGCCUAACACAUGCAAGUCGAACGGCAGCACAGCAGUAGCAAUACUGUGGGUGGCGAGUGGCGGACGGGUGAGGAAUACAUCGGAAUCUGCCUAGUCGUGGGGGAUAACGUAGGGAAACUUACGCUAAUACCGCAUACGACCUACGGGUGAAAGCGGGGGAUCGCAAGACCUCGCGCGAUUAGAUGAGCCGAUGUCCGAUUAGCUAGUUGGCGGGGUAAUGGCUCACCAAGGCGACGAUCCUUAGCUGGUCUGAGAGGAUGAUCAGCCACACUGGGACUGAGACACGGCCCAGACUCCUACGGGAGGCAGCAGUGGGGAAUAUUGGACAAUGGGCGAAAGCCUGAUCCAGCCAUGCCGCGUGAGUGAUGAAGGCCUUAGGGUUGUAAAGCUCUUUCGCCCAGGGAAGAUAAUGACGGUACCUGGAAAGAGACCUCGGCUAACUCCGUGCCAGCAGCCGCGGUAAU